UCCAGACUCCUACGGGAGGCAGCAGUCGGGAAUAUUGCGCAAUGGAGGAAACUCUGACGCAGUGACGCCGCGUAUAGGAAGAAGGUUUUCGGAUUGUAAACUAUUGGCGUUAGGGAAGAUAAAAGACAGUACCUAAGGAGGAAGCCCCGGCUAACUACGUGCCAGCAGCCGCGGUAAUACGUAGGGGGCAAGCGUUAUCCGGAUUUACUGGGUGUAAAGGGAGCGUAGACGGCAUGGCAAGUCUGAAGUGAAAGCCCGGGGCUCAACCGCGGGACUGCUUUGGAAACUGUUAAGCUGGAGUGCAGGAGAGGUAAGUGGAAUUCCUAGUGUAGCGGUGAAAUGCGUAGAUAUUAGGAGGAACACCAGUGGCGAAGGCGGCUUACUGGACUGUAACUGACGUUGAGGCUCGAAAGCGUGGGGAGCAAACAGGAUUAGAUACCCGAGUA
rnacentral:rRNA from 1 species